AGGUGGUCAAACUUGUGUGCGGGGGCUAACAUAUCGGUGUACAGGAUCGUGCAACGACGAUGACAGUGUGAUGGAUACACUCGUGUUGUUGAAACCACCGACUCUUUGAAUACUACGAAGGUUCUUUUGAGAUGUUUGCAAUACAAGGAAAGAUGAGUGGUCCACAGCAAUUUUGGCUCGUCUGUCCCACGUCAUUGACCUUCCUGCAGCAGAAGCCAUAUACCACCAGUCAUGAAGUGUGAACUUCAGGACUGGAAAAGGUAUUCCAAAAUGUAACCGUAACGAUGACAGUGAAUCUUCAUGUAGUGUCAACGACAGAGAACUCCUGGAAGACCAGAAAACACAAGCCAGGUUGGAGCUUUUGAACAUGUGAUUAAGAUGAUAGAAUUGGGCAAAAAUAUGUCGAUUGUUGAUCUUGUAAACAAACUGUCAGACAUUUGCGGAGAAGAAAAUGAAUAUUCUGCAAAAUAUAUGAAAAGAAAAAUUACUGAACAUUUUGGCGAGAGUGUUGUUAUAAGCAAUUCAGAUGGGAAAAGCGAUAUUGUGACAUGCAGACAAACCAUCGCAAACAUAAUUCAUGAAAUCUACAUUGAUGACACUUCAAAUAUAUAAGAAGAAGAAAAGAAAAAUAAUUGAGUCUGCUGCUAAAAUAAUCAAAUAUGACAUAAAGAACAUCAAAGAGACAAAAGACUGUUACCCAUCUUGACAAGAUAUUGCUUCAUUAAAGAAGAACUUGGAUUAUGUGCCACAAAGUUUACAAUCUCUAUUGAAAAUAGUAAUUGGUCAAGGUGAAAACAACCAAACAAAACUGUCAACCAUAGGUCAAAGUAUUAUGCAGGUUAGUCGCCCUAGAAGCAUUCUAACGCCUUUUCAGAUUGGGCUUGGGGUGCAGCUGCAUCAUCACUUCGCCUCAAGAUUUUUUAUAGACACCUUGAACAACUUAGGUUUUUGCAGUUCAUAUUUUGAAGUUCAAAAGUUCCAAACCAAUGCUGCUGCUUUUUUAUCCACCAGAAUACUAUGUCAAGAAACUGACAAUCCACUUUUCCAGUUUGUAGCUGAUAAUGUGGACCAUACUUUAAGAACAAUAGAUGGCCACAAUACUUUCCAUGGGAUGGGCAUCAUCGGAGCAUCUACACCAGGAACGCAAGUUUCGAUUACAAUUCCGAGGAAGGAUCUAUCUUUUCAAGAUGUGGCUGCUGUAAGUCAAAUUGAAAUUAAGUACUUUAUUAGAAAGGACCUGUCGAGUGAUGUAGAACGAAGAAUUUUCUUGCAUCUACCUGAAAAUGAGUCGGUGAUACAGGAUAGUCCGUUAGAUCUUCUUUUCAAAGUGAGUUGGCCUUUAAGACAAGAAAGACCAUUUUGGUCUGUAUUUAUGCAAAUGUACGGGGGACAUUUUUCAUCAUCUACUUCAAAAGCGGCAAUAACUUUCAUGCCUAUGAUAGAUUUGAGCCCAAAUGACCCUUCAUGUGUCCUAUCAACGCUACAUUUCGUGUGCCGUCAAUCAGCUCAAUAUCACAAGUCUCCAGGAGCCGUUUUCACCAAUGUACGUAAGUCUCAAAUCUUAGACUCAGCUCAAGUUUCUGACUCAGACUCAAACUCAGGCUAACAAAACUUAAUUCACGAAACAUAAAACGGUAAGUUUUAGACUCAGGCUCAGUAAUGUAAGUCUCAAAUGCUAAGUCUACAAUGUUUAGACUUACGUAAUACAAUCGCGACGUAACGUUAUACGCACGUAAAAAUUCAAAAUGGCUGCCACACGAGGCCACUUGCGUUUUAAUAAUUAUUUGAGAGUUGAAAGUGUUUAUCGACCCAACGAAUCCCUUGAAAAUAUUUCAGGACUUUGAAUUAUAUAAACGUUUUCGUUUUACAAGACCCGGUAUUCUUUGUAUGUGUAAUCUGUGUAAUGAAGAGCUGAUCCGGAGUACAAUGCGUAGCCUGCCAGUUCCGGUCGCCCUGGCAGUAUGUACCUACCUGAGGUACGUGGCCAGCGGCGGCCUGCAGUUCACCGUCGGUGAUAGUACUGGCCUGUGACAGGCAACGGAUAGCCAUGUCUGUGCACAGGUCAGCGACAUUCUGGCAGGGAAAGUCCCGGAAUUCGUAAAAUUUCCAGCUUUUGAAGACGCCGCCCUCGCAAAACAUGAUCUUGGUGCCAUCGCUGGUACGUGAGUGCAAAUGAGAUGUAUGCUUUUGCUGUUCUAAUGUAUUAUAGACAACUGUCAAAUUCAUAAUUAUCCGCGUUUGUUUGUUGUCAUAGUGUAAAUAAUCUCCAAACUUAAUGUACUUGAACAUGCACUAAUUUUUAUAGAUAAUACGUGUUGUUAAAAUGUAAUAGUAAUAACAGUUUUUAAAAUAUCACUAACUACCA